UCUCUCAUUUUUAAGUAGAUUAUGAAAAAAGUUUGAAUGAUACAGAGAUUAGUAUGGUACCUGUGCAAGGAUGGUAUACAAAUUUGUAAAACAUUCAUAUUUUAA